UCAUCAUAUCCACCUCCAUCCUCUUCCGGAUUUUAUGAAUAGUUCAGGACCACCCUAGGUGUAACACACACGGGCUGAGGGUGGUAGGCCUUUAAGUACUACGUGGGUCAUGUCCAACGAAUAGCUAAGGUGGGUAGAAUAGCUAAGGUGGAUAGCCUACUGAGCAGUCCUGCUAAUAUGUGAAUAGCUAAGGUGGGUAGAAAAGCUAAUGUGUGAAUAGCUAAGGUGGGUAGAAUAGCUAAGGUGGAUAGCCUGCUGUUAUGAGCAGCCCUGCUAAUGUGUGAAUAGCUAAGGUGGGUAGAAUAGCGGAGAAUUUCAGUGACCUGUCCCCGGCUGGAGCUGUCCCUGGAAAAGUCCCCGGUUUUCACUGUGACUGACAGACCCGAAAUUGUAAUAAAAGAAAGAAAGAAAACACUGAACAAACGUACAGUUGCGCACCCUUCGCGCACAGUCUCAAGCUAGUCAAAGACAUAGGUCAAAGCAAGCGCUCAGACCUCAGAGAUGUUCUAGAAUGCCCAUAUUUCUGGUCUGCCGGUUAGUGGAGUAGCAGCGCGGUAGAAUCUUUGAAAUGAAACCACUUGUGCAGGGGAUUUAUUAAACUAACGUCAUCACGAACGUGCCAGCUGCUCAAAUCCAGGUGAAACUAAAAUUGCGG